rnacentral:rRNA from 1 species
GGGUCAAUAGGUUGGUCGUGCCACCGGUACGUACUGGUCUCACUGAUUCCUCCUUCCUGAAGAACCGUAAUGCCAUUAAUUUGGUGUUGCGGGGAGACAGGACUGUUACUUUGAAAAAAUUAGAGUGUUUAAAGCAAGCUAACGCUUGAAUACAUUAGCAUGGAAUAAUGAAAUAGGACGAUCGAUCCUAUUUUGUUGGUUUCUAGGAUUGACGUA